UGCUUCAAACAAGUCGCUCGGCAGCCCGGAGCCUGUUAACCCGUGCAUAAUGCCCCGCGUGGAGCAUCCCGGGCAUGUCGCGCGGCCACGCUGAUGCACUGCGGGCGGGCGCUGCGCGGAGCCUCCCCGGCCGCCGCCGCCGCCGCUCCGCUCGCCUCCCCGCGCCGCUCCGGACCCCGGAUUCCGCUGCUCGCCGCCGGCCGCCGGCCCUCCUCGCCGCCGCCUCCAGGCCCCCGUCUCUCGCGGGCGGAAUUCCAAAUGCCGGCGGGCCGCGGGUAUGCGGCCAGCGCCCGGAGAGGAGGCAGCGCGCGACCGCGGGGAGAGGCGCGGACCCGGAGGCUGGCAGGACGCUGGGGCUCCACGGGCCUUGCCUCUCCAACCCCCCCAACCCCCGCCUCCCGGAAGUAAGGCGAGACCCAGAGGGCGCCCAGGGAGCCGGCCUCCUCCCCUCCCCCCGCCUCCCCUCCCCGGGCUGCUGGGUGGGGGGAGGGGGCAGGGCGGGAGGUGGGAAGGGGGACCGGGACCCCGCGAAAGUUUCUUUUUGGCCAUUUGCGGAGGGAGCUGGGGGGAGGGGGGCUCGCGGAAGGUGGAGAACUGGCCCUGGGAGGGAGGACGUGACACCCCUCCCGGUGGAUGGCAGGGAGGCACUUGAUAAACUCCCAGGGUCCAGGUGUGGGGGUGGAGGCAGCAUUCCUUUGCCCGAAUUCUGCUCCCAGGUCACACUCGGCCUGGGGUCUCCAGAGGGGAGAUACGCAACGUGGGGAAGGUAAGGAGCCAUCUAAAACCACAGUGCGUCUGCCGCUGGCCAGCCGAGCGGUAGGGGAACAUUCCAGGGAGUGAGCAAGGAACCUAUCCUCGGAUGGAAGGGCCAGGCGUCCCUUGGAGACCCAGAGAACGAGCAACAAGUAGACCCCCUCCUCCCCCGAACUGCUGUCCCAAGGGUCUGUAUCUGAAGAAAGACAGCUGGGGUUCCAGGUAGGGCUGGCUGCUUGCAUUUCCUCUGGGCUGUGUGUGUGUGUGUGUGUGUGUGUGUUGCCCCAGGAUUUGCCAGAUGGAAGCACAGCUGGAGAUAGAGGUGAGAGCAAAGGAUUGGGGUUUCAGCUGCCUACCUCCUUUUCCUGAAAAUCCCCUGGAAGUCCGCUCCUGCUAGCAGGUGGGUGUGAUUUUGCCUGGUGUCAAGGAUCAAAUGGCCAGAACCUAUAUAAUCAGUGGUGCUAAAUCCUAUCAGGUUGGGAGGAAUGGAAAGGUCCAGGGGCCACCCCAGUGCACACAGCCAAGCUGGGACAGAGCCACAAGAAGGCGCCUUGUUCAGCCAACCUGGUGUCCCCAGGGCAGGCCAAGCUUAAGUACUCCUUGGAAGGCAUUUGAGAAGAAAGCAGCCUUGGGAAUGUCCCUCCUGGUAGAAUGUUCUCGACGGGUCAGCUCUGCAGCGGGAUGCAGGAUCCCCACAGAGACGAGAAAACUACAGAAGUCGGUCCAUACAGAGAGGACUUUUGGGAUUCAGCUACCAGUUGAUAUGAGCCUUGGGAUGGAUUUAACUUGCUGGGUGGCCUUUGGAAAACCAGGAGGUCCUCUGUGAUGUGAGAAUUCCCUUACCUCCAAGGCUGAGGCUGCUUCUUGGAGAUGCAAGAAUGGAGACCCUCUUUGGAUCCUGAGAAACCUGUGCCCUGUCCUGAAACCAGCUCCUGAGAAGGUGAGGGACACCUCCUACCCCCCAGCGCUGUCCACUGAUUCCCCCACACGGGAGAAAGGAAGACCUCAGUGGAGCCCGAGCCGGUGAAUUCAACAAGGAACUGUGCACCCGAAAAACCUCGGUUGGGGUUACUGGAUGCAAAAUCCUGAGUCUGGAGGCUGUUGACAAGGUUCUCCCCCUUCUUCAUAGACUACCAAAAAAAGAAAAGCUGGUAGAUGCUGAGGUCACAUGUGAAGCAAGUCCUACUUACCUACCCAGUGUUACUGGGUUAUUCCAUUUUCACUCCCCCUGCCUGAAUGGACAGCUGACCCUGACAUUUCCCAUACAAGCUUUUCUCUGCUUUCCUAAUCUGAUGGGAUAAUGAUGUCAUAAAGAAAUAACUAAAACAGUAGGUGCUUAAUAAAUGCUUUCUGGUGUGAAAUAAGGAAGACAGUCA